rnacentral:rRNA from 1 species
GUGCCUACGGGGCGCAGCAGUGAGGGAUAUUGGUCAAUGGGGGAAACCCUGAACCAGCAACGCCGCGUGAGGGAAGACGGUUUUCGGAUUGUAAACCUCUGUCCUCUGUGAAGAUGAUGACGGUAGCAGAGGAGGAAGCUCCGGCUAACUACGUGCCAGCAGCCGCGGUAAUACGUAGGGAGCGAGCGUUGUCCGGAUUUACAGGGUGUAAAGGGUGCGUAGGCGGCUGUGCAAGUCAGUAGUGAAAUCCAUGGGCUUAACCCAUGAACUGCUAUUGAAACUGCACAGCUUGAGUGAAGUAGAGG